rnacentral:rRNA from 1 species
GGACGAACGCUGGCGGCGUGCCUAAUACAUGCAAGUCGAACGGUCUUUCUAUGGAAGCUUGCUCCACUGAAAAGAUAGUGGCGAACGGGUGAGUAACACGUGGGUAACCUGCCCAUAAGAGGGGGAUAACAUCCGGAAACGGGUGCUAAUACCGCAUAGUUUUCUUGAUCGCAUGAUCGGGAAAGGAAAGACGGCCUUUGUGCUGUCGCUUAUGGAUGGACCCGCGGCGUAUUAGUUAGUUGGUGAGGUAACGGCUCACCAAGACGAUGAUACGUAGCCGACCUGAGAGGGUGAUCGGCCACAUUGGGACUGAGACACGGCCCAAACUCCUACGGGAGGCAGCAGUAGGGAAUCUUCCGCAAUGGACGAAAGUCUGACGGAGCAACGCCGCGUGAGUGAAGAAGGUUUUUUCGGAUCGUAAAACUCUGUUGUCAGAGAAGAACAAGUUGGAGAGUAACUGCUCCAGCCUUGACGGUAUCUGGCCAGAAAGCCACGGCUAACUACGUGCCAGCAGCUGC